rnacentral:ncRNA from 1 species
AACUGCGAUGAAGCGGGAGAUUGCGCCAAAAAGGCGGUAACUUUCGUGGAGCAUGUCCGUCGUCUGUUUGUUUGCAGACGA